rnacentral:rRNA from 1 species
AUUGAACGCUGGCGGCAGGCCUAACACAUGCAAGUCGAACGGUAACAGGAAGAAGCUUGCUUCUUUGCUGACGAGUGGCGGACGGGUGAGUAAUGUCUGGGAAACUGCCUGAUGGAGGGGGAUAACUACUGGAAACGGUAGCUAAUACCGCAUAACGUCGCAAGACCAAAAAGGGGGACCUUCGGGCCUCUUGCCAUCGGAUGUGCCCAGAUGGGAUUAGCUAGUAGGUGGGGUAACGGCUCACCUAGGCGACGAUCCCUAGCUGGUCUGAGAGGAUGACGAGCCACACUGGAACUGAGACACGGUCCAGACUCCUACGGGAGGCAGCAGUGGGGAAUAUUGCACAAUGGGCGCAAGCCUGAUGCAGCAAUGCCGCGUGUAUGAAGAAGGCCUUCGGGUUGUAAAGUACUUUCAGCGGGGAGGAAGGGAGUAAAGUUAAUACCUUUGCUCAUUGACGUUACCCGCAGAAGAAGCACCGGCUAACUCCGUG